UAAUAAAAAUAAUAUUAAUAGGGUUCACCAUCACUUCACUCUGUCGCUGUCGCCUCUCACCUCUCAAACCGCCCUCCACUGUUGUUGCCGGCGCUGCCCCCCAUUGUUGCUGCGAGAGCCGCUGAAGGCUGUCGCCCCCACCGUGGCUCAUACAAUUCCCUUCUCUUCUCGUUCUAUAGCAUCACCGAUUUCCUUCGCCUCACUCACACGAAAGUGGAAAUCCCAGUUCUCGCCGCGGCGGCGCUCUCGUCAGUCGCUGCCGUUGCCGCCUCCGUUGACAUCAGAGGUUCCUUCAACACCAAACAAAACGUAUGGUCCUAACAUGGUCUCUUCAUCUCUGAUCUUGCAUCAUGUGAUAACUACCCCCACAGAAACUUCACUACCCUUGAUCUUGAAUGUGU
rnacentral:lncRNA from 1 species